rnacentral:tRNA from 1 species
AAAAAGGUAAGCUAAAUAUAAGCUCGUGGGUUCAUACCCCAUUUAUAGGUUCUAUCCUCCUUUUUA